GUAAAUAUUAUCUUGUCGACGCCGAUUUUCCAUUGGUUUCGGGAUUUCUUGCAUCAUACCGUGGGACUCGUUAUCAUCGUAGAGACAUUGAGGGCCAACAUCCUGAAAGUAAUUUCAUGGCACAUAAUCGACAAAGCUCUACAACACCGUUUCGAGUGCCUAGACCAACCAUCCAUUCAGAUGUGGAGGAAAUAAGCUCAACCCAAAUGGAUCCCAAUGCUAGGAAUCGUCAUGUGCUUUGGAGUGAUGCAAUGAAUGAUUGUAUGAUAACUGCAUUACUACAGCAAGUGUUGGUUGGUCACAAAAGGAGUGACAAUGGGUUUUCAUCAUAUCAUGUUUCCAAAGCAAUUGAUAGCGUGUAUAACGGAUGUGGAGUCAUGGUCUCGGAUAAGAAAGUAAGGGCGUGAUUGAAGACUCUAAAAAAAGAAUUUCUCGAAGUUCGCCAAUUGUUGAUUAUAAGUGGUUUUGGGUUAGAUCCUGACACUGGACGUGUCACAGCUGAUGUUAUAGCUUGGGAAGAGUUUUUGAAGGGGAAACCAGAAUUCGGAAAGUGGAGGACCAAGCUUUGUCCUCAUUAUGAUGAUAUGGAGGCUAUCUUUGGAAAUGACUCUGCUACGGGAGAUCACUCUGUAACCGGCAAUGAUAAUUUGUCUCCUAUUCCUGGUAUGUUAAC